rnacentral:rRNA from 1 species
CCUACGGGAGGCAGCAGUAGGGAAUAUUGCUCAAUGGGGGAAACCCUGAAGCAGCAACGCCGCGUGGAGGAUGAAGGUUUUCGGAUUGUAAACUCCUUUUGUUAGAGAAGAUAAUGACGGUAUCUAACGAAUAAGCACCGGCUAACUCCGUGCCAGCAGCCGCGGUAAUACGGAGGGUGCCAGCGUUACUCGGAAUCACUGGGCGUAAAGAGCGCGUAGGCGGGAUAGCAAGUCAGAUGUGAAAUCCUAGGGCUUAACCAUAGAACUGCAUUUGAAACUUUUAUUCUAGAGUAUGGGAGAGGUAGGUGGAAUGCUUGGUGUAGGGGUAAAAUCCGUAGAGAUCAAGAGGAAUACUCAUUGCGAAGGCGACCUGCUAGAACAUAACUGACGCUGAUGCGCGAAAGCGUGGGGAGCAAACAGGAUUAGAUACCCGAGUAGUC